AUGUUUCCAUGCCCUUGGAAGGAGGAGGAAUGGUCUCAAUUUUGCUCUUCAAGAAGAACAUACUUACGAAGCCAACACAGAUGUGGGACCCACUCACGCCAGUUCUGUUGUGCAUGUCCCUCUAGCUGGUGCAAGUUUAGUGUACAUGAAGUAUAUGUCCUGGGAAUACGCUGGGACCCUUACUCUUCAAUGAGUGUUUUCACCAACACUGACCAGGUGCUGAUGGGAGAUAGUUUACCUUCAAAUUUUUUCAAGUUUUUUUACUUUACAACAAAUAAAAAGGAAGAAUCUCUUUCUGCCCCUCAUGCUAAAGAGAUUACUCUGCAAAAACAGAUCCCUGUUGUUUUCUAAGGAGAGACCGAAAGGAUGUGGAUUCUGA
rnacentral:lncRNA from 1 species